rnacentral:rRNA from 1 species
CCCUUAGAUGUUCUGGGCCGCACGCGCGCUACAAUGAUGAAUUCAACGAGUUUAUAACCUUGGUUGAAAAGCCUGGGUAAUCUUUUGAACUUUCGUCGUGAUGGGGCUAGACCCUUGCAAUUAUUGGUCUCCAACGAGGAAUUCCUAGUAAACGCAAGUCAUCAGCUUGCAUUGAUUACGUCCCUGCCCUUUGUACACACCGCCCGUCGCUCCUACCGAUUGAAUGGUCCGGUGAAGCGUUCGGACCGUGGCCUUUGGACGGUUCGCCGUCUGUUGGCUGCGGGAAGUUCGUUAAACCUUAUCAUUUAGAGGAAGGAGAAGUCGUAACA